AAAGUACUCCCUCCGUCCCAAAAUUCUUGUCUUAGAUUUGUCUAGAUACGGAUGUAUCAAGUCACAUUUUAGUAUUAGAUACAUCCGUAUCUAGACAAAUCUAAGACAAGAAAUUUGGGACAGAGGGUGUAGUUG
rnacentral:pre_miRNA from 1 species